rnacentral:rRNA from 1 species
UACGUAGGGUGCGUGCGUUGUCCGGAAUUAUUGGGCGUAAAGAGCUUGUAGGCGGUUUGUCGCGUCUGCUGUGAAAUCUCAAGGCUCAACCUUGAGCUUGCAGUGGGUACGGGCAGACUAGAGUGUGGUAGGGGAGACUGGAAUUCCUGGUGUAGCGGUGAAAUGCGCAGAUAUCAGGAGGAACACCGGUGGCGAAGGCAGGUCUCUGGGCCACUACUGACGCUGAGAAGCGAAAGCAUGGGGAGCGAACAGG